UGAAGAUGCAAGUGGAUGGUGGUUGAACUUGCAAGUAGCCUACCAAUAAGCAUGCUAUUUUUCACCAUAUUAAGUCUGGCAGUAACCCAGAACUAUCAGAGGCAGAGGAUCGCUCUUCCGGCUGCAUUUAGGCAACAACCCAUACUGUACUGGCGGUAGGCUUCCCAGUGGCUGAGUUGGACCUCUGGUCAUAAGGUGGCUGGUUCGAAUCCCGGGACGAAAAAAUGGGUGGAAUUGAUCUGACAACUGGAUGGCUGCUUGGUUCACAUUCUCAAAAAAUUCCCCUACAUUUGGACUCUUGACCAAGUCCCUUAACCCCACAACAUGCUCUCCAUCCAGGGGUGCUGCACUGCAGCUUGAACCUGUAAUUGUCUCAACUGUAUGUGUGAGGUCUGCUGUUUGGGGGGUGGGUUGAGAAUGGAGCAGAAGCCA
rnacentral:lncRNA from 1 species